GCGGGAGUUGGCUUCGGCUUUCGGAGAUAAAAAGCUUUGGACUUGUUCGCGGAGCAGCACCGCCGCGUAGGCUACCAACCGCCGUCAGCAGCCUUAGGCAGGUACACGACCGGGUAACUGGCAGCUCUUAGAUUGUUCUGGACUGUUGUAUGGUGAACUCGUACACUGAGUGAUGCCCGAAAGAAACAGCAACUGGGACCGGAUGAAGUCUUUGGCAUCGAUGGAGGUCCAAAAGUUCCUACUUGGUCUUUUGAGAGUGUCUGGGAAGAUGAUUUUAAGCGAGCCAGUUUAGUCAGACAUGGAAGUCAGUGGCAGAUACUCCUAUCACUCGUCAAGCCUUUCGAUGACCUAAGAAGAAAAA